AACGAACGCUGGCGGCAUGCCUAACACAUGCAAGUCGAACGAGACCUUCGGGUCUAGUGGCGCACGGGUGCGUAACGCGUGGGAACCUGCCCUUAGGUUCGGAAUAACUCCCCGAAAGGGGUGCUAAUACCGGAUAAUGUCUUCGGACCAAAGAUUUAUCGCCUUUGGAUGGGCCCGCGUUGGAUUAGCUAGUUGGUAGGGUAAAAGCCUACCAAGGCGACGAUCCAUAGCUGGUCUGAGAGGAUGAUCAGCCACACUGGGACUGAGACACGGCCCAGACUCCUACGGGAGGCAGCAGUGGGGAAUAUUGGACAAUGGGCGAAAGCCUGAUCCAGCAAUGCCGCGUGAGUGAUGAAGGACUUAGGGUUGUAAAGCUCUUUUACCCGGGAUGAUAAUGACAGUACCGGGAGAAUAAGCUCCGGCUAACUCCGG
rnacentral:rRNA from 1 species